rnacentral:rRNA from 1 species
AUACCAGCUGGCUGCAACUGUUUAUUAAAAACACAGCACUGUGCAAACACGAAAGUGGACGUAUACGGUGUGACGCCUGCCCGGUGCCGGAAGGUUAAUUGAUGGGGUCAGCGCAAGCGAAGCUCCUGAUCGAAGCCCCGGUAAACGGCGGCCGUAACUAUAACGGUCCUAAGGUAGCGAAAUUCCUUGUCGGGUAAGUUCCGACCUGCACGAAUGGCGUAAUGAUGGCCAGGCUGUCUCCACCCGGGACUCAGUGAAAUUGAACUCGCUGUGAAGAUGCAGUGUACCCGCGGCAAGACGGAAAGACCCCGUGAACCUUUACUAUAGCUUGACACUGAACACUGGUCCUUGAUGUGCAGGAUAGGUGGGAGGCUUUGAAGUGUGGACGCCAGUCUGCAUGGAGCCAUCCUUGAAAUACCACCCUUUAAUGGCUGGUGUUCUAACGUGGACCCGUAAUCCGGGUUGCGGACAGUGUCUGGUGGGUAGUUUGACUGGGGCGGUCUCCUCCUAAAGAGUAACGGAGGAGCACGAAGGUUGGCUAAUCCUGGUCGGACAUCAGGAGGUUAGUGCAAUGGCAUAAGCCAGCUUGACUGCGAGCGUGACGGCGCGAGCAGGUGCGAAAGCAGGUCAUAGUGAUCCGGUGGUUCUGAAUGGAAGGGCCAUCGCUCAACGGAUAAAAGGUACUCCGGGGAUAACAGGCUGAUACCGCCCAAGAGUUCAUAUCGACGGCGGUGUUUGGCACCUCGAUGUCGGCUCAUCACAUCCUGGGGCUGAAGUAGGUCCCAAGGGUAUGGCUGUUCGCCAUUUAAAGUGGUACGCGAGCUGGGUUUAGAACGUCGUGAGACAGUUCGGUCCCUAUCUGCCGUGGGCGCUGGAAGAUUGAGGGGGGCUGCUCCUAGUACGAGAGGACCGGAGUGGACGCAUCACUGGUGUUCGGGUUGUCAUGCCAAUGGCACUGCCCGGUAGCUACAUGCGGAAGAGAUAAGUGCUGAAAGCAUCUAAGCACGAAACUUGCCCCGAGAUGAAUCUUCCCUGAGCCUUUAAGGCUCCUGAAGGAACGUUGAAGACGACGACGUUGAUAGGCCGGGUGUGUAAGCGCAGCGAUGCGUUGAGCUAACCGGUACUAAUGAACCGUGAGGCUUAACCUUACAAC